rnacentral:piRNA from 1 species
UUUUUUUGUCGACCUACUGCC